rnacentral:sRNA from 1 species
GGGCUGUGCUGGGGGUUCCAGGAAGACUUCCUGGAGGAGGGGAUCUUGGAGCUAGGCCUUGAAGACGAGUUUGUCAAAUGAGGAAGGGCAUCCGAAGCCGAGGGAACGGUACAAGGGAACGCUGGGGAGGGGAGAGAAUCUGGAGAGUUCCGGAAAAAGCAAAUUGUGCACGCGCCGGAGCAGCGGCGCACCAGCCCCCGGCUCCGGCGCCACCAUCUUCGCGCUAAGCUCUGGCCAAGGCCGCUGCGGCAUCGCAGUGAUCCGGACCAGCGGCCCUGCCAGCGGCCACGCCCUCCGAAUUCUCACGGCACCCCGAGACCUGCCCCUUGCUCGCCACGCCAGCCUGCGCCUGCUCAGCGAUCCCCGCUCCGGGGAGCCUCUGGACCGCGCACUGGUGCUCUGGUUCCCAGGUCCCCAGAGUUUCACCGGUGAGGACUGCGUGGAGUUCCACGUUCAUGGAGGCCCGGCAGUGGUGAGCGGCGUCCUGCAGGCCUUGGGCAGCGUGCCAGGGCUUCGACCGGCGGAGGCAGGCGAGUUCACCAGACGGGCGUUCGCCAAUGGGAAGCUGAACCUGACCGAAGUGGAGGGGCUGGCGGACCUUAUCCACGCGGAAACAGAGGCGCAGCGGCGGCAGGCCCUCAGGCAGCUGGACGGAGAGCUAGGCCACCUCUGCCGUGG